rnacentral:lncRNA from 1 species
UUAUUAUAGAUUAAUGAGAUUAUAUUGAAUUUAUUUGUAUUUUUAAUUUGCUUAACUUAUUUGAACGCCAGUAUCUUCAUGUUGCCAAGACACAGACCCGACUGGGCUGUUAACAAAUUGUUUUAAGUUGUUUUCCUUUUGGGACCAAGUACUGCUCCACAGGGUCGUGCCAAGGGGCGAUGGCGACAAUCUGGGCUUGAAACUAUCCAAUGUUGAAUAGGAAGGGUGCUUGGAGGCGCCGUUUUACAACUUUGCAAUGGGCGCAAAUAUUCCUUGGCACGGCCUUGCUGCUCCACGAAUUAAAGAAGCCUGCAGAUGUUAUUCCCAGCCAUAUGCAAACUGUGGAAUAUGCAAAGGGUAUCGUUUCAUGGGUUUCCAUUAAUGUACACAUAUUUAUAUGAGCUAUAAUACUCAAAUGUAUAGACAAACGACCGUUCAGGUUUCUUUCCUGCAGAUAUGGGUUUUAUCAAAGUUGUCGGCGCUUAUUUCGUUGAUUGUUCUCCUCUUUCGAUCAUGCAAGAGCCGCCAAUCCCACUAAAAGCAAUCUCCUGCAUGGAUCCAUUUUGCAUUCAUUGUUUUAUUAACAGAGGUAAGCAAAACCACACAGCUUCCUGAGAAGUGUAAC